rnacentral:rRNA from 1 species
GUCGAGAAUCUUUCACAAUGGGGGCAACCCUGAUGGAGCAACGCCGCGUGGAGGAUAAGGUCUUCGGAUUGUAAACUCCUGUCAUGCGUGAACAAGGUUGCUUGGUUAAUACCUGGGCAAAUUGAUGGUAACGCAAGAGGAAGAGACGGCUAACUCUGUGCCAGCAGCCGCGGUAAUACAGAGGUCUCAAGCGUUGUUCGGAAUCACUGGGCGUAAAGGGUGCGUAGGUGGCGUGGUAAGUCAGAUGUGAAAGCCCGGGGCUCAACCUCGGAACUGCAUCCGAUACUGCCAUGCUAGAGUACUGGAGAGGUGACUAGAAUUCUCGGUGUAGCAGUGAAAUGCGUAGAUAUCGAGAGGAAUACCAAAGGCGUAGGCAGGUCACUGGACAGUUACUGACACUGAGGCACGAAGGCCAGGGGAGCGAACGGGAUUAGAAACCCUUGUAGUCC